UACAGAGGGGGCAGCGUGUCUCGGAAUCACUGGGCGUAAAGGGUGCGUAGGCGGCGCGGUAAGUCGGGUGUGAAAUCUCGGAGCUUAACUCCGAAACUGCAUUCGAUACUGCCGUGCUUGAGGACUGGAGAGGAGACUGGAAUUUACGGUGUAGCGGUGAAAUGCGUAGAUAUCGUAAGGAAGACCAGUGGCGAAGGCGGGUCUCUGGACAGUUCCUGACGCUGAGGCACGAAGGUCAGGGGAGCAAACGGG
rnacentral:rRNA from 1 species